rnacentral:lncRNA from 1 species
CGGUGCGGAAGCCUGGUCUCCUCGCUUGGAGCGAGCGGUCUGCGCUUGGGAAGGCGAGGCUCGAGGCCGGCCGGCGGAGCUCUCAGGGACGCAGGGAGGUCAGGUUGGCAGCAGCCACUCUCUCUGCGGCUGUACCUGGGAGAUGGAAAGCAGAAGGCUGGCUCAAACACUCCAAGACAGGUUGGCACCACUCCAGGUACGGACGGUUUAGCUGCAAGGGCUGCUAGGAAAUGUAGUUCGGUGCUAAACAGCCAAUGGGAGAUCGCCAGGCGCCGCGGUUGUGGCGGAGCAGGGCCGGGGCUCGACCGGAAGCGGGCCGUCUGACGGACCGGAAGCUCUGUGAGAGGCCGACGCAGUUUCCGCCCCAGCCCCUUGGGUCUAUCAAAAAAUUGCGGUGGCGGCGAGGUGGUGGUAGGUUGUGGUUUUUGUCGGUUCUAGGGUCCUGUUACAGCCGUCCCUUUCGGCAGGGGCGGCCCUUCGGUCAGAGCCGGGCGAAGCUCCCCUCCCCUAUUGGCCAACUUCUACACAGAGGUCUGGACCGGCCAUCUUAUUUUCUCAGGAAUUCUAGCUGUCCAUCUCCGUUACCGUCCUCAAUUCGUCUUUUCUUUCUGCGUUGUUCCCAUACUCGGUUCAUUUUCCAGUGAGGCAGUGAUCAGGAAUUGGGGCCACACAAGAGCAGGGAUUGCCUUAUUCUAUGUAAACGCCAGCCUCAGGCAGGAUGACUAAAGUGAAAAUAUGAGUUCUGUUUAUUAACGGUAACUAUAGGUGACUCACUCAGCUAUGAUCUAAAACAUGUUAUAAAGAGAGUAGUGUCAAAACCGUGUGGCAGGGGCUUCCCUGGUGGCGCAGUGGUUAAGAGUCCGCCUACUAAUGCAGGGGACACGGAUUUGAGCCCUUGUCCGGGAAGAUCCCACAUGCAGCGGAGCUCCUAAGCCCGUGUGCCACAGCUACUGAGCCUGCGCUCUAGAGCCCCUGAGCCACAACUACUGAAGUCCUUGUGCCUAGAGCCCGUGCUCCUCAACAAGAGAAGACAGCGCAAUGAGAAGCCCACACACCGCAAUGAAGCAUAGCCCCUGCUCAGCACAGCUAGAGAAAGCUCUCGCGCAGCAACGAAGACCCGACACAGCAAUCAAUCAAUAAAAUAAGAAAGAAAAAACUGUGUGGCAACAAAACUU